rnacentral:lncRNA from 1 species
ACACAGACUACAAAUCACCAAAUCCACAACAAACAACAACCCCGAAAAUCUCACAAUUCAGAGUCAAAUAAAAAUCUGGGUUAGAGAUUAUCCGACAACAAUCAAACCGUUGGAUGUGGAGAACCAUAUACAAAAAACAUGCUUGCAAAAUUUCAAAUCAAUCGAAGUUGAAUCACCGUUCCGAUCGAAGCCAAGAAGUUGCAACCAAAUAAAAUCUUUUUUUUUCUCUCCGGCGG